AGAAUCAACGCUGGCGGCGUGCCUAACACAUGCAAGUCGAACGAGAAAGUGGGAGCAAUCCCACGAGUAAAGUGGCGCACGGGUGAGUAACACGUGACUAACCUACCCUUGAGUGGGGGAUAACCUAGGGAAACCUGGGCUAAUACCGCAUAAUACCUACGGGUCAAAGGAGCAAUUCGCUUUAGGAGGGGGUCGCGGCAGAUUAGUUAGUUGGCGGGGUAAUGGCCCACCAAGACAGUGAUCUGUAUCCGGCCUGAGAGGGCGCACGGACACACUGGAACUGAAACACGGUCCAGACUCCUACGGGAGGCAGCAGUGGGGAAUUUGCGCAAUGGGGGAAACCCUGACGCAGCAACGCCGCGUGGAGGAUGAAGCCCCUUGGGGCGUAAACUCCUUUCGAUCGGGAGAUAAUGACGGUACCGGAAGAAGAAGCCCGGCUAACUUCGCGCCAGCAGCCGC
rnacentral:rRNA from 1 species